UGCCAGCAGCCGCGGUAACACGAACUGCGCGAACGUUAUUCGGAAUCACUGGGCUUAAAGAGUCCGUAGGCGGCUUGGUAGGUGAGGUGUGAAAUCCCACGGCUCAACCGUGGAACUGCGCUUCAAACCACCAAGCUAGAGGGAGAUAGAGGAGAGCGGAACUGAUGGUGGAGCGGUGAAAUGCGUUGAUAUCAUCAGGAACACCGGUGGCGAAAGCGGCUCUCUGGGUCUCUUCUGACGCUGAGACGCGAAAGCGUGGGGAGCAAACAGGAUUAGAUA
rnacentral:rRNA from 1 species